UCUAUGUUCCGUGUUGAUGUC
rnacentral:piRNA from 1 species